rnacentral:rRNA from 1 species
UACAGAGGGGGCAAGCGUUGUUCGGAAUUACUGGGCGUAAAGGGCGCGUAGGCGGCCUUCUAAGUCGAACGUGAAAUCCCUGGGCUCAACCCAGGAACUGCGUCCGAUACUGGAAGGCUUGAAUCCGGGAGAGGGAUGCGGAAUUCCAGGUGUAGCGGUGAAAUGCGUAGAUAUCUGGAGGAACACCGGUGGCGAAGGCGGCAUCCUGGACCGACAUUGACGCUGAGGCGCGAAAGCCAGGGGAGCAAACGGG